GCCCAGGCUGGAGUGCAGUGGCGUGAUCUUAGCUCACUGUAACCUCUGCCUCCCCGGUUCAAGCGAUUCUUUUGCCUCAGCCGCCUCAGCAGCUGGGACUACAGGUGCAUGCCACUGUGCCUGGCUAAUUUUUUGUAUUUUUAGUAGAGACGGUUUCAUCAGGUUGGCCAGGCUGGUCUCAAACUCCUCGCCUCAAGUGAUCCACCCGCCUCUCAAAGUGCUGGGAUUACAGGCAUGAGACAGCACCUAGCCAGAAGAAUUUGACCCAGGGGGCAUAUGGUGGAAGGAAAGCCCAAGGCAACACCUGGGCCUCAGGACUGCGUGAUGGGUGCCCCGUGAAAUCUAAUUCCACUGUGAACUAUGCUGACAUCCAUCAAGGCCUUUACCUCCUACCUCUUGGUUUGAAAUGGGUCUCCAAGACUUCCACCAUCCACAACUGAUCCAGAAAUGGCUCUGGCAGUACCCAAGGGUUCCUUGAAGGCAGGUCUGGGUCUGGUUCUCCGGAUCCCAACACCACGAGGUACUUUAUUUUAAAAGGAUUAAAAAAGCCACUGCUUGUCAAAUCUUGAACUAAAGGACUAACACCAAUUCUCAUAACAUCCUUAAGCCGGCCAUGUGAAAUGGGUGCUGUAAUUACCAUCCUAAUCUUAAGGGCAUGGAAAAUAAAGCACAGAGGGUAAAUCCUAUGGCUAAUCAGGAGCAGAGGUUGGUUUUGAUGUUGAAUGUGUGCACUCUGAGCCCAGAGUCGAUGACUAGAUAUAAAUGCAUCCAAGCCCAGCCCCCAAGAUGCUAGUUAGGUGGUGGCACAAGGUGGGGAUGUGACAAGGCAGCUGUUGCUUGCUGCUUUAUGAGAGGUACAGAUGGACAGACCCCAAGGAAUCACACUGAGCAACGUUUCAACCAGAAAUAGAAAUGGUCUUGGAAGGUGGAGGGCAGGACAGGCGUGCCCAGAAAAGCAGGAGGUAAGUGUGACUCCCAGGCAAGAACCCAAAAGACUCGGGGCUGGGGACAUGGAUGCCUACAGGACAGACACUGUGGCUUUUGGGGAUUAAAGAACUCAAAAUACUGAGCGCACAACCUGUCACCAGAUGAAUGUAAAUCCCCCUUCGGUAAACCCAGCAUUAUUUUUUCAUGACAUUUUGAGUGUGCUUUCAAUAACACUGUGACAUUGCUGCUGUGUUCCUGAUAUUUUUAAGCUUCAGGCUUUUCUUCUGCAAGCUCUGGCUGUGUAGUUGCUCUUCUACAAGCACAAGUUAAAUGGUGAAUUAAAAAAAAGUGAGAAAGGCUUUACUGUUUGUUGGGGGGGGGAGGGGAACACAGAACUAGAAUAGCUUGUCAACUCAUCCUUUGUGGAUAACCACUGUUAGGACAGUAGUUACAUAGUUUUCUAGUCAUUUUUCUUUGUGUAUUUGUCAUACUAAGUCUUCCAAAAUGUAAGUGAAGUUGCUUGCAAAAUCUUUUUUUCGUGGUGGAGUCUUGCUCUGUUGCCCAGGCUGGAGUGCAGUGAUGUAAUCUCGACUCACUGCAAGCUCCACCUCCUGCAUUCAUGCCAUUCUCCUGCCUCAGCCUCUGAAAUCUGGUAUUUUAAAUCAAAGCAGUCUGGCAUUAGAAUGCCAGAGAUGAUGAUGGAAAUGGCCUGGAAGAUAGUAAGGACGAAGGUGCUGUGUAAUGCUUUCAGAGUGACUGCUGUCAGGCUGGGCAUCACUAUUUCAUCUAUUUCUUGGUGUUCUCACCAUGGGAGAUGGGAAGCUCGAGAAGUUACUGCCCCAGGCCCAUGGUAGAGAAGCAGAAUGUGGCUUACAUUUGGAUACAGGGCCAUGUGCAAGGUCACGUGGCAGCAGUCCCCAACCUUUUUGGCACCAGGGAUGAGUUAUGUAUAAGAAAAAUUUUCCACAGAUGUAGGGGGUGGGGAUGCUUUUGAGAUACAAAGUGUGUUACAUUUGUACAUUCUAUUAUUACUACAUGGAAAAAAUUACACAACUCACCAUAAUGUAGAAUCAUUGGGAGCCCUGAGCUUGUUUUCCUGCAACUAGAUGGUCCCUUCAGGGGGCGAUGGGAGAGGGUGAGAGAUCAUCAGGCAUGAGAUUCUCGUAAGUAGCAUGCAGCCUAGAUCCCUCACAUGGGCAGUUCACAAUAGGGUUUGCAUGCCUUUCAGAAUGCAGUGCUGCUGCUGAUCUGACAGGCAGAGCUCAGGCGGUGAUGCGAGUGAUGGGGAGUGGCUGUAAAUACAGACGAAGCGCUGCUCACCCACUGUGUAGCCCAGUACCUAACAGGCUAUGGACUGGUACUGGGCCAGGGGUUGGGGACCAGAAGAGGGAUCCAAGCCUGAUUUGACUACUACUCAUCCUAGACUAAGGAGCACGGGGACACAGCGGUAGACCUCUACAUUGCAGUUACGAUGUGUGAAUUUACUUAAAAGGAGUCUUUUGUCUCUCUCCCCCAUAACUGUGUAAAUUUCUUUAAAGUCUCUGAAUCCCUCUGUUACCUGAAACAUGGGGCCGAUAUCAACCCACCUAUGAGAUUAAACAAGACAAUGCUUUCAGGCCCUGAAGCAAACUCAGGCACAUUUUCUGCAAAUGGGCUGCCUGUGGCCCUCUUGUGGCUCUUGGUGACUGUGGCCCUGCCCCUAGGGAGCCCUUAUCAGGCAGAUAAACUGCUUCAGGUUGUACAAUGCGGGAUGAUCACCCAAUGGGCCUGGGACAGCCUAGUGGUGAGGCUUGUGCAGCCCCCCGUAGAAACGGGAUGGGGGUGGAUUCAAAUCCCAGCCACAAGGACCAGCAGGAUUGGGUGGGAUGGAGAAUAGGUUUCUUUUAAGCUCGGGGCCUGCACUGUGUGAGCAGCUGUGGCAGAGAGUGACAGGUGUAUGGAUCCACCAUGGACGGGGUACUGAGAGGCAUGGCACUGUGGGGUGUGUGCAUCCCUGGGGUAAACAGUGCUCAUUAAAAACUAAAGAUGCACUGUGCUUAACUUUAAAGGAUGGCAUUAAGUUCAUACAGAAGUCUACCAAUGCUUUCUAGAUGUCAGCUUUCACCACUUCAAGGCUAACAUAUCACUCUAUGUAAAAUUCCGAUGGUUACCAAUGGCUGUGAUGCUGAGGGGGCCUCUUUGUCUCUUUGUUGAUAGCCACUUGAGGUGACCAGGGGCCAUCUCGCGUUUCAGAGCUGGCUCAGCCUGACAUUUCAGAAGACCUCAGAUACCAUCUACUGGGGGGGCUGAAGAGAGGCUCUGUGAUGGUUCUGCUGGAGUAAACCGUAAUUAUUAAAAACUGAGAUGCAUUACGCCUAACUUGCUAAGGAUGGAAAGGAUUAUCCCUGAAUGCUGCUGGUCUUCUAAUUCUCAGUUGCCCCGUCCCCACUUUGCAUGGGAUGUUCAGAGCACAAUCAUGUCUCUGUUGUAAUCCCGGCCAAUUACCUCACAGUGCUCUCCCCACUGCAGCACCCAGCCCAACCAACCGUGGCUAAAAUCUUAAGCAGAAGACCCACAGGAAGACAGGGCAAGCGGUGAAUGAAAAUAGCAGCCUGCCUGCCCUGACGACUUGAGAAUCCUCCAGUUGCCUGCAGAGGCCCUCCUCCACUCGCUGGAAUGGCUAUGGUCAUGUCACAUUGAUGAUGUUUUGGUGAACAACAGACUGCAGAUAUGAUAGUGAUCCUGUAAGAUCGUGAUGGAGCUGAAAAAUAUCUGUUGCUUAGUGACAUCACAAUGCAGUGCACUACUCCUGCAUCUGAGGUGAUGCUGGUAUCAAACGAGCCUACUGCACUGCCACUCAUCAAAAAGAUUUUUUGGGCUGGGUGUAGUGGCUCACACCUGCAAUCCCAGCAUUCUGGGAUGCCAAGGAGAAUGGGUCAUUUGAGGUCAGGAGUUCAAGAUCAGCCUAGCCAACAUAGUGAAAUGCUGUCUCUACUGAAAAUGCAAAAAUUAGUUGGGAGAGGUGGUGUGUUCCUGUAAUCCCAGCUACUUAAGAGGCUGAAGCAGGAGAAUUGCUUGAACCCAGGAGGAGGAGGUUGCAGUGAGCCAACAUCAUGCCAAACUCAGUCUCAAAAGCCAAAGGUGGCUUGUUUCUAUUCGCAAGCCCUCAACCAUUCAGCAUCUCCACCCUCUUCUGAGGUUCUUCCCAUCUCUCUGAAGCUGUAAUCCCAUCGUCACUUCCUCUGGCAACACGGGGACUGCCUGCCAUGCCCUAACUCCUCCUUGUGCUUUUGGCCUUCGCCUAAGAGUUCCUUGGAGUUUCUUCACAGCAUCUGUAGCCAUCUGAAGUGUCAUCUUCUGUACUAUAUUGCCAGUGCCUACAAUUACGACUGGUAUACUCAACCAGGACCCAUGGACCUGGCAUGGCAGGUGUGCGGAAACAGCAGGACACGCUGACAUUACAGAAGACGAUGCACACCCAUGCACGGGGCACAGAAACACCUUCAAGACACAGGCGGCAGUGGUCUUGUACAAUCUCUCUCUGUAUUCUCAAGUCCCCAUCUGCGAGCAUGGCUACUGGAAAUAACUGCAGCUGUAUACUGACUUAAAGAUCCAAAAAUCCCAGGAAGGACCCCAGAGCUGUGAGCCAGAAGCCCAAGGCCCUCCCAGCCUGAAAGCCCCAGGCCAAGCCUGAACUAUAUGCAGUCAUCCCCAUGAGAAUAUAAACUCCAUGAGGGCAGCAACUUGGCUGGCCUGUGUGCCAGUGCUGGGGACAUCACUGAGAAAUGAAGGCCCAUUUGGCAGGCUAUUUUUGAGCAAGAUUCCUGAGGCCCAAUCGUUGGGUGAUGAGAUGGACCCGAGGUAUUUCACUCCAGCUCUCGAGCCAAAAGAACUGACCACGUCCUCACCACUGCUCUGCGCCAGAUUGAGACUGUGUCUCCCAGACUGGAAUGUAAUGACACAAUGUCAGCUCACUCCAACCUCCACCUCCCGGGUUUAAGUGAUUCUCCUGCCUCAGCCUCCCAAGUAGGUGGGAGUACAGGCGUGCACCACCAUGCCUGGCUAAUUUUUGGAUUUUUAGUAGAGAUGGGUUUUCCUCUUGUUGGCUAGGCUGGUCUCACACUCGACCUCAGGUGACCCAACCACCUUGGCCUCCCACAGUACUGGGAUUACAGGUAUAAGCCUCUGUGUCUGGCCCAUAUUUGCUAUUUCUAAAAUUAGAAAGGUAUUGUGUGGUACUCUUCCAUGCUUUAUCCUCUUAGUAAUAAUGUCAUGGAGAUUUUUUCCAUAUCACUACAUGCGGUAUGGAAGGUAUUCCCUUUACAUGUGAGUGUACAUCAGCCUCAGUAUUCUAGCCCAUAGGUUGGCAAACUUCCUAUAAAGGGUGAGACUAAACAUACUAGGCUCCAGGGAGGCAUUCCAUCUCAGUUACAACUCAACUUUGCCCUUAUAAUAAGAAGCUAUACAUGAAGUGUGAAUGACUGGGCAUGUUCCAAUAAAACUUUACUUAUAAAAAACAGGUGGAGGGUAAGAUUUGGCCUGUGGGCCAUCAUUUUCUGAUCUCUGUUCUAGUCUGAACCAUCUUUGGCUGUUUCACCACAGUCAUGCGGCCAAGGAGGCAAGGCCUGGCCACACAGGGCACAGAAGCCAUGAUGGGCCUUGUCUGCAAGUAGAAAUCACCUGCUAAUCACCAACAGGUCUCAAAGUAAAUGCUGGAACACACUUUGUAGGGUGACUCUCCUGGCCCCAAGCAGCAUCUGCGACAUCAAGAUGCCGGGCCUUGGGACUGCCUCAAGCUGGUUUCGGCAGCUAUGCUCUUUACAGAGCGUGUGGAGGGCAAGGACUCUGGAGUAGAAAAAGGUGCAGGUCUUAGGGCUGGGGUCCCAGGGUGGAAGCCCACUCCAUGCCUUACUGGCUAUUUGAGAUAGAGGAUGAAAAAUGGCAUGAACAUCUUUGUAUGUGUGAGGAUCUUCCUGUUGCCCACGCUGGAGUUCAAUGGUGCAAUCUUAGGUCACUGCAACCUCCACCUCCCAGGUUCAAGAGAUUCUCCUGCCUCAGCCUUCUGAGUAGCUGGGACUACAGGUGCACACCACCACCCAUGGCUAAUUUUUGUAUUUUUGGUAGACAUGGGGUUUUGUCAUAUUGACCAGGCUGGUUUCCAACUUCUGACCCUGAGUGAUCUACCACCUCAGCCUCCCAAAGUGCUGGGAUUACAGGGAUGAGCCACCAUGGCUGGCAGACACAAGCAUCGUGAGGGGUGCCUAGCCCCUGCAGACACUCCAUGAACAGCAAAUGUGAUAACUGCUAAAUCAAAACUACCCCAGAAUUUUCCAUCUGCUAUGUCCCCAAGAAAUGACACUGUAACAGGGAGCCGAACACUAUGAUGCCUGCCCAGCUGCAAGAGUGGACUCACCUAAGAUACUCCACAAGCUUUUUAUGCUGUUACAACGGACCCAAAGCACGGGAGAGCAGGGGCCUCACUUGUGCUGUUGCUUGAGAGUUCCCUAAAUGCCAGGCCAUAGCAGGUACUGAAGAAUACCUACAGCCCGAGUGAGUGCUGCUAUGUGUAGGGUUCAGGCCAAGGGCCCUGGCUGCAGAGCAGAGGAACUGAGAGCUAGACAGGGCUGGGCCUGCCAUAGGAAAACAACAGCCCAGCUAUGACCCAGCACUGUGGUGGCUGGGGGAUGAGAGAUGAGCUCAGCACAGAAAACACCUUGGAGCCCUGGAUGUACCCCUCCUACACCAGUACAAUGCCCUGCAGUGCUCUGGGCUUUAAACUUCACUUCUUGCUGAGUUGACACCAAAUGAGGCCCCUGAAGAGCCUCUUCUGCUGUGGGGCUUGGACAGAGUACCCGGGCCUGGAGUGGGACUUACAGGGAAGCCAGCAUCAUAGAAAAUCCCUAGAGGGAAUUCCCAGAAGGCUGCACCCUCAAAGCAUCUGGUCCAGACAAGACAACCCUGACUAGUCAUCCUGAAAGCCCGGUGCUGUCCAAAAGACACAGAUGCCAUGGUACAGGGAUGUGGCACAGUGGGGAGCCAGAGGGGCCAACUCUUCAAGGCUGCAGGACCUUUGCACCUGCUGUGUCCACUGCCUGGCUCCCUGCCUCAGGUCUCCACUUCGGGUCAAACUAUCCCUGUCAUCUUCCUAGACCAUAAACAGCACAUCCCCAGCAGGCUUCUUUCCCUCUGUGAUGACUGUGAUGUCAUUUCCUGUCUUUUCACUGGAAAUCGCCACCUCACAUAGGCAUGUCUGCCUCACUAUUCAAUGUCUGUGUCCCCCAUGAAAACAGAUGCUUUAUCUGCUGUUGAACUAUCAGGAUCUGAAAUGGUGCACUGUAAGUACUAAUUGGAGGAAUGGGUGGAUGGAGGGGUGGGGAAUUUAUUUUCUCUUCAUCCCUGCUCUCAUCCUCCUAGGGCUUCCAGCUGCACUCCUAGCCCUGGAAAAACCAAACCAGCCUGAUCUUACUGGUGACUGUAUAAUCUUAAUCCCUUUAUUUUCAUAUAUUUUGAAAGCAAUCCUAAUUGUCUGUAUUUAAAAUUUCCUUUGUUGCAUGGAAGGUAGCUGUUUAAAUGUCUAAUUUUCUCCUAUCUUCUUAGUUUUCUAGUCAAAAUAAUAGCUUUAAUCACAGUGGGUCUAGAUGGAUUCAAAAAGGAAGAUUUAUCCACUCUUCUUGGUAAUUGUUU
rnacentral:lncRNA from 10 species